UGAGUGCCGGGUCGGUGGGGACCGGGAUAACCCCUGCAGUCCAUAUGAGGGGAACAGGAGCCCAAUCCGGAGUCUGUAGUGCGUUGUGGUGGCGGGAGAGCGGCCGUCUCACCCAGGCCGACCAUGCUGCUAGGCCGCGAGGUUUGUCUGCUCGGAGCCGGCAAAGAAGUCCACAUGUGUGGUAUCAGCUUGGAGGGCAGAAAGUCCCCAUUCAUGAGUAGGUUAGAUUGUGCCGGUUUGCAGGCUUUGCUCCAUGAAAAUUUGGUUGAAUUAGCGGUAAGAUGCAGGAGCUGCUGCAGCUUGCGUCUGCU